rnacentral:misc_RNA from 1 species
AAUUCUCAACCCUCUUUGCUUUUUUGGCGAACGUAGGGAUUGGACUUGGAGGCUUUGCCGGGCUACAUUCUGGUUGCUCGGCUCCUCUCAAAUGCAUUAGUGCGUCUUGUUGCGACGUGCGCCUCGGUGUGAUAAUUAUCUACGCUGUGGUGCGCUCGCUUCUGUUGGAGACACGCUUUCUAACCGUCCCGUAAAGGACAGCUUUCAUCGAA